rnacentral:rRNA from 1 species
AUUUUAAGUCUAGCCCAAACACAAUCAUCACCCACCACCAACAGAUAAACCAUUUUUAUAUAAUAGUAUGGGCGACAAAAAACUUAUUUAGCGCAAUAGAAAAAGUACUGUAAAGGAAAGAUGAAAUAGAAAUGAAAUAAAAUAAAAUACAAAGAAGCAAAGACCACAACUUUUACCUUUAGCAUAAUGAUUUAGCAAGUCCACAUUAACAUAAAGAAUUUCAGUUUUAUAUCCCGAAACCAGACGAGCUACCUAAAGACAGCAAACACUGAGCAAACUCUUCUCUGUAGCAAAAGAGUGAGAAGAGCUUUUGGUAGAGGCGAAAAACCAAACGAGCCUGGAUAUAGCUGGUUGCUUGAGAAUGAAUUUUAGUUCAACUAAAAGCAUAAAUAUUACAAAAAAUAAUGCUUUUAAUAUAAUUAAUUGAGGUACAGCCCAAUUAAUAAAGGAAACAACCUAAAUAAAUAAAUAAAGAUUAUAUUAUAACAAGAAAAUUAAUAUUGUUGGCCUAAAAGCAGCCACCGAAAAUAGCGUUAAAGCUUAAUUUAAAUAAAACUUAUUAUUUCAAUAAACAAUCUAAAUUUACAAAAAAAAUCGAGCCAAUCUAUAUAAUAGAUGAAUUAUUACUAAAAUGAGUAACAAGGAAAGAAGCCUUUAUAUGCACGUGUAUAUCAAAAUGAACAAGUCGCUGAUAAUUAACAAAUAUAUAUUCCCUAACAAGAAAAUAAUAUAUAUAUUAAUGUUAAUCCAACACAGGAGCAUUAGAAAAAGAUUUUAAAUUUGAGAAGGAACUCGGCAAAAUAUAGCUUCGCCUGUUUACCAAAAACAUCGCCUUUUGUUAUAUAAAUAUAAAAGGUACUGCCUGCCCAGUGACAAUCGUUCAACGGCCGCGGUAUUAUGACCGUGCAAAGGUAGCGUAAUCACUUGUCUAUUAAAUAUAGACCAGUAUGAAUGGCAAGACGAGAGCUUAACUGUCUCCUUAAAUUAAUCAGUGAAAUUGAUCUUUCCGUGCAGAAGCGGAAAUAUAAAUAUAAGACGAGAAGACCCUAUAGAGCUUUAAACCCAAACUAGUUAUAUAUAAAUAAUAAUUAUAGCACCCGGUUUUAGGUUGGGGCGACCACGGAGCAAAAAAGAACCCUCGAGAUGAAUAAUUAAGAGGUACACCUCAAAAUAAUAAUAAAGUUAACAUUAUUGACCCAUAUUUGAUCAACGAACCAAGUUACCUUAGGGAUAACAGCGCAAUCCUUUCAUAAAGUCCAUAUUAACGAAUGGGUUUACGACCUCGAUGUUGGAUCAGGACACCCAAAUGGUGCAGCAGCUAUUAAAGGUUCGUUUGUUCAACGAUUAAAGUCCUACGUGAUCUGAGUUCAGACCGGAGCAAUCCAGGUCAGUUUCUAUCUAUAAAUAAUUUUUCCUAGUACGAAAGGACCGGAAAAAUAAGGCCAAUAAAAAAUUUAAGCCUUAUAACUAUUUCUGAUAUAAAAUAAAGAAAAAUAAAAGAAAACCAAGCUAAGAUAUAGCUU